rnacentral:rRNA from 1 species
AACGAACGCUGGCGGCGUGGAUAAGACAUGCAAGUCGAACGCGACUUAUUUUGUUAGCAAUAACGAAGUAAGUUGAGUGGCGAAAGGGUGCGUAACACGUGGGAAUUUACCAAGAAGUGGGGAAUAGCUCGACGAAAGUCGAAUUAAUACCGCAUACGAUCGAAAGAUCAAAGCCGGGGACCGCAAGGCCUGGCGCUUUUUGAGAAGCCCGCGGCCCAUCAGCUAGUUGGCGAGGUAAAAGCUCACCAAGGCUAUGACGGGUAGCUGGUCUGAGAGGACGACCAGCCACACUGGAACUGAGACACGGUCCAGACACCUACGGGUGGCGGCAGUCGAGAAUUUUUCACAAUGGACGAAAGUCUGAUGGAGCGACGCCGCGUGGAGGAUGAAGGUUUUCGGAUUGUAAACUCCUGUCACUGCAGAACAAGGAUACACCAGUUAACAGCCGGUGUAUUUGAUGGUAUGCGGAGAGGAAGGGACGGCUAACUCUGUGCCAGCAGCCGCGGUAAGACAGAGGUCCCGAGCGUUGUUCGGAUUCAUUGGGCGUAAAGGGUGUGUAGGAGGCCAGGUAAGUCAGGUGUGAAAUCUCAGAGCUUAACUCUGAAACUGCGCUUGAUACUGCUUGGCUAGAGGAUCGGAGGGGGUAACGGAAUUUAUGGUGUAGCAGUGAAAUGCGUAGAUAUCAUAAGGAACACCGGUGGCGAAGGCGGUUACCUGGAAGAUUCCUGACUCUGAAACACGAAAGCCAGGGGAGCAAACGGGAUUAGAUACCCCGGUAGUCCUGGCCGUAAACGGUGUGCAUUGGGCGUAUGCGGAUUCGACCCCGUAUGUGUCGUAGAUAACUCAUUAAAUGCACCGCCUGGGAAGUACGGUCGCAAGAUA